GCGGCAUGCUUUACACAUGCAAGUCGAACGGCAGCACGGGGGCAACCCUGGUGGCGGGUGGCGAACGGGUGAGUAAUAUAUCGGAACGUACCCGGAAAUGGGGGAUAACGUAGCGAAAGUUACGCUAAUACCGCAUAUGCCCUAAGGGGGAAAGCGGGGGAUUCGCAAGAACCUCGCGUUUUCGGAGCGGCCGAUAUCGGAUUAGCUAGUAGGUGAGGUAAAGGCUCACCUAGGCGACGAUCCGUAGCUGGUCUGAGAGGACGACCAGCCACACUGGAACUGAGACACGGUCCAGACUCCUACGGGAGGCAGCAGUGGGGAAUUUUGGACAAUGGGCGCAAGCCUGAUCCAGCCAUGCCGCGUGAGUGAAGAAGGCCUUCGGGUUGUAAAGCUCUUUCAGCCGGAAAGAAAACGCACGGGUUAAUAACCUGUGUGGAUGACGGUACCGGAAGAAGAAGCACCGGCUAACUACGUGCCAGCAGCCGCGGUAAUACGUAGGGUGCGAGCGUUAAUCGGAAUUACUGGGCGUAAAGCGUGCGCAGGCGGUUUUGUAAGACAGAUGUGAAAUCCCCGGGCUUAACCUGGGAACUGCAUUUGUAACUGCAAGGCUAGGGUACGGCAGAGGGGGGUAGAAUUCCACGUGUAGCAAUGAAAUGCGUAGAUAUGUGGAGGAAUACCGAUGGCGAAGGCAGCCCCCUGGGUCGAUCUUGACGCUCAUGCACGAAAGCGUGGGGAGCAAACAGGAUUAAAUACCCUGGUAAGUCCACGCCCUAACGAUGUCAAC
rnacentral:rRNA from 1 species